rnacentral:lncRNA from 1 species
AUAUCAUUAAGUGGUGUGAAUAGUACUAUAGUAGAAAAUGAUAAAAUAUGCGUCCAUGUUAAAGAAGAAAAAAUAGGAUCAAGUGGAGAGAAAAGGGGGUUACAUGUGGAAAAGGAGAAAGAGAAAGUAGAUGAAGAGAAGAAUGAGGAGUGUCAGAAAAAAAAAAAAAAAAACACAAACGAUAACAGUGACACGAUAAAUAAUACUAAUACUGACAAUAGCAGCGGAAUUAACACUAACCUUAUUGAUAAUAUUGACAACAACCGCAACUACAAUACGGGCAUUGAAUCUAACAUUUCCACUAACACUAAUGGUAGUAUUAACAGCACCGACAUUAACAAAAUUAUUUAUAUCGAAAAAGGGAGUUCUCAAAAUAACAUGAAUAAAACAAAUAACAUGUUUCAGUUAAUUACAAAAAAAGAUCGUAGCCCAUACUUAGGUGAAUGGAAAAAAAAAACAAUAGAAUGGACAAAUGAUGAAAUGACUUUUCUUCUUAUAUUGACAAAGACAUAUAUGAAUUAUAUAAAUGUUGAAGAAAUAAAAAAACAAACAAUAAUAACGAAUAAUAUAGAACAUACAAAUACUGAAUACAAUGUAAUAACUAUGACUAAUGUGAUGAAUAGUGAAAAUAAAAAUGAAAAAAAAAAAUUAGUAGCAGAUGAAAUAUUAAUAGAUAAAAAUAACAAAACAAAUAUAUAUAAGCUUGCUAAAAAUGAAAAAUUAUCAGAUGAUGAACAUAAGAAUAAAUUAAAUGGGCUAGGCGAAUUACAUAAAACAAAUAUUGUUAAUAAUAAUGGAAGUACAUAUGAAUUAAACAGUGUUUUCAACGAUGUGGGUUAUACUAACGAUAUAAUUCAUAUGAACGGAUACCAAUUUGGUAAAGAUAAAGCAAAAGUUGAUAGAAAUGAAGUCAACCAUAUAGACAUUCCAAUUAUACUCGGUAUAGGAAAGGAUAAAGAAAACAUAAAAAUUAUGAAUUCGGAAAAUAUAAAAUCCGAAGAAAUAGAAUUAGAAGAAAUAAAACCCGAAGAAGUAAAAUCAGAAAAAAUAGAACCAGAAAAAACAGAAUCAGAAAAAACAGAAUCAGAACAAAUAGAUGUGCAUAAAAAGUAUCAGAAUGACAUAAAUAUAGAAAAUAUUAACUAUUAUAUUAAUUAUAUUAAUUGGGACAUAAUAUCAUUAGUUUUAACAUCGUAUAAUAAAAUAACUAACUUGUACGAAAUAAAUAGAAGUCCUAAUGAAUGUAAGAAAAAAUUCCAUACCCUUGUUAAAGAUAAAAUGCACAUGAAUAUGAAUACGAAUUUAAUUAACUCACAUAUGAAUAAUUAUUUAAAAAAGGAUAAUAUACAUAAAAAACAGUUAAAAAAAUUAAAAUUUCAUUCAGUGUUUUCAACAGUAAAUACUAAUACAUUGAUAGACACUUUUACCAAAUACAUGAAAAAAAAAAUUAAAAAGUAUAAAGCAAGAAAGCGAAAUAGCAACAAUGGUAGGGUUAAUAAUUCGGAUGGUGUGACUGUGGUUAAUGUAGUAGAGGCUGAUAUAACGUGUGACACUGGUGAAAGAGAAAAUAACAAUAAUAAUGAUAACAAUGACAAAACAGGAUUUAAGAUUGAAAAAAAAAUCGAAGAAUUUAAUAUAUUACAUUCAGAUAGCCAACUUAGUUAUACUAAAAACAUGGAUCCUAUUAAAUAUAUUGAUCGUAACAAAGAACAUGUUUUAAGUGACGGGAAUAUAAAAAAUGUUUUUUUGGAUAAGUAUAAAACUGUUGAUCUAUAUAAAACGAGUUCAAAAUUGUUAAAUAAAAUAAAUGCGAAUUUAAAACAGAGCAGAAUAAGUGAUAUUAGUAAUAACAAUAACAGUAAUAACAGUUGUGUUGAAGAACAUAAUAUGCACCAGUUUAAUAAAAUGAACAAAGAAAUCAAUAAUUUUUUUUUAGAUAGAAAAAGAAAUUUGAUUAGGAAUAUGAACAAUUCAAAUCUUACUUUAAAUGAUAUAUUUAGUGAAUUUUCUGAAUGUACAAAUGAAACAUUAGAUGAAGAUACAGAUUGUUCUAAAGACAGUUUUUUUAGUCCUAGUGAUUUCGAUAAUCCUUCAUUUAUAAAAUCAGGAAAUUAUAAAAAUGUUAUGAAAAAAACUAAAGACAAAACAUUAUUUAUAUCAACUGAUUCUGAAACGGAUGAAAAACAUAAAACAAGCGAAUUAUGUGAUUACUAUUAUGAUAAUGAUGGUGCUAUGCAUAAGCAAUUUAAUAUGAAUGAUAAUAGCAGUAUGGAUGUUAAUGGUAAUAACAGUAUGGAUGAUAUUAACAGUGUGGAUGUGAACGAUAAUAACAAUGAGAAUGAUAAUACAAUGACAUUAUCUGACGAUUCAAAACGGGUGAAUAAUCAUGUAUUAAACAAUGGUACUUGUUUUGAAGAUAAAGAAAAUAAUAGCAAUCAAAUAAAAACAAUAAAGAAACAUGUGAGCGGUUUUUCAUUGUUUGAACAUAUUUUUCCCGGAUUUGUAAAAACAAAGAAUAACGAGCAAAAUAAUGAUCACUUAGUAAAACAAAAUAGCGAAAUUGAUGAACGUAAUAGCGAUAAAAUUGAUACACAUACAAGUAGUAGUGAUACUUUUUGCGAUAAUAAUAUAAAAGACAACAAAAUUAACGACAAUAAAAAAACAAUAUUUAUUUCUGAAGUUGCAUUAUUUGAUGGUGACAUAAAUAAUAAAGAAAAUACAUCAACUAAUGUAAAUGUUAAUAAUAUGUUAUGUAAUCAGAAUGUAAAAUUAUUAGAAGAAACACUAGACCUGGAAGAAGAAAAAAUAGGAAAAGUAGAACAAAAAGAGGAACAAGUAAAGGAAAAAGAAAAUAAAGUAGAAAAGAAGGAAGAAGAUAAAGGAGAAAAUGAAAAACAAGAACGAGAUCAAGAUGAAGAUCAAGAUGAAGAACAAGAUGAAAAACAAAAAGAAGAACAAAAAGAAGAACAAGAUGAAGCACAAAAAGAAGAACAAGAUGAAGAACAAAAAGAAGAACAAGAUGAA